CGAAGAAGAGAAAGCCGUAGUUGAAAUCCAGUAGAAUACCAUAUUACUGAUGUGCGGUGAAAGAGCAAGCAGAGAGCUCAAACAUACACACUCACACACACAGCGUAGCAUAGCCUACCGGAGUUUGAGGCUGCCUCUCGUAUCGCCGUGUUUUUUCUGCUCUCUCAAUGCAAGCGAUCGAUGUCCAUAUCAUUGUCGUGUCCCAAUCCCAGCCAAGAUUCUACCUCAAACCAGCCACCAUGCAAAAAAAAACACCACAGCUCCUCUCCUCACCUCUCCUCUCUUCCCCAAGUUACACUAAACAAUCACCAUGCAUCGACUACUCACCACCGAAGCCUGGGGUAAAACAUCAUCACUGGCAAUGGAAGGACAAUUCAUUAUGUGGAGAAAAAAUAUGACCCCACCAAAGCGAAUGAAGGGGAGAAAUGGGAUCUAACGUUUCGGCAAGAGGACUGUAGUAAAGCAACAAGAUAACCUAUAUUCAAGAGUUUGGGCCUCUUAUGCUCUUUUUCCCAAUGCCUGUUUUAAUAUUUUGUCAAAGAUAAAUAAGAACCGUGAGUUUUUGGCUCCAGGGGACCUGCGUGCUAUCAGUAGCCAAACAACUGGGCGACACAGCCACCCACGCCUCGGUGCAUGGCUACUCCUGUAGACGAAGCAGUCGCUAUCGAGAGAGACCUUACACGGUGUUAAUCGUGAAAGGAAUCAGGAGAUCGGUUCUCCUUCAUGAAAAAAAUCGAAGGGGGUGAAUUGACUGAGCCGGGACUUGGGAUCGUACGAUAAGGCUGUUGGCAGUCAACUACUUCCUACUGCAGUAGCCUACAACUGAAUAGGACCCACCCUAACCCAGUCCGAACCAAGCCUGACACAGGGCUGCUGGAACCCGGACUACUGGGGGCUGUGACCCGGGUUAAAGGUGUUCAACCGAGGCGUCACUUUUUACCCUGAUCCGAGGCUGUGGCUCUGGCGUCCUUCAGGGAUUCCACGCUCUUCUCCCCUGAGAGGCCACUCACUCAGCGGCAGGAGAAGCCAGUCAAGCCGCUGCCUGGUUGACCAAACAGCACGGAGCAAGAGGCAAAGGACGGAGCAUUUCUGGUCUCAGAGAAUCUUUAGGCUAUAGUAGCCGAUAAUGCAAAACCUGGUGCAAUGGACUAAAGGUUGUUCUGAAUCUUUACCGUUGACGAUUUUAUUUCGCAUGGAUGGAGGACUUUGUAACUAUUGAUUGAUUUUGUUUUUCAAGUGGACGCUUUUGCAUGGGGGGUGGGGGGUGGGGGAUUUGGAGUAGACGCUAGCUGGGGCCAGACUGAACUAUUCCACUUUUAGUAGCCUUAGCUCUUAGGCGACUGCGAGGGACUUGUCCAUAUUGCAGACUUUCGCUUGUCUUGUCAUUUGUUUUCACGGGGAAAAUGAGAUAGUAAGACGGAUUUAAGGGACUGAUACUGCUUAUCUUAGCCUCAUGCAUUUUUUAAUCCCCCGGUCGCCUCCCUCUCACUCUCCCGGCAGACGAUGCUCAUUCUCCGGGGGCUGCUUGACAAAAGCCUGCCUUAACUAAUAUUUCGCCCCAUUGCCAUAUCUCAGCAUCCCCAAUUAAUAAUAGAUUGUUAUCUGUAAAGUCAGUGUGUGUGUGUGUGUGUGUGUGUGUGUCCUCAGGUUAAAUUAUAAAAGGACCUUAUACCAAUUGAGCUUUUAUCAGAAUGAUCAUUUGCAAGUGUUUAAUUUUCAAACGAAGAAGAAUAAAAAUAUAACUACUUCUG